GUGAACGCUGGCGGUAGGCCUAACACAUGCAAGUCGAACGGCAGCACAGUAAGAGCUUGCUCUUACGGGUGGCGAGUGGCGGACGGGUGAGGAAUACAUCGGAAUCUACUUUUUCGUGGGGGAUAACGUAGGGAAACUUACGCUAAUACCGCAUACGACCUACGGGUGAAAGCAGGGGAUCUUCGGACCUUGCGCGAUUGAAUGAGCCGAUGUCGGAUUAGCUAGUUGGCGGGGUAAAGGCCCACCAAGGCGACGAUCCGUAGCUGGUCUGAGAGGAUGAUCAGCCACACUGGAACUGAGACACGGUCCAGACUCCUACGGGAGGCAGCAGUGGGGAAUAUUGGACAAUGGGCGCAAGCCUGAUCCAGCCAUACCGCGUGGGUGAAGAAGGCCUUCGGGUUGUAAAGCCCUUUUGUUGGGAAAGAAAAGCAGCAGGUUAAUACCCCGCUGUUCUGACGGUACCCAAAGAAUAAGCACCGGCUAACUCCGUG
rnacentral:rRNA from 1 species